CGCGGGCGUUGGGGACACCACGUACGAUGUAUGGUGGAUUUCCCAAGAUCCGUGAU
rnacentral:pre_miRNA from 1 species